GAGAUCAUAAAUUCCACUCGGAAAGCGCUCUAUCUCAUCUUAUCUCGGAAGCUAAGUGGGGUAGGGCCUGGUUAGUACUUGCAUGGGAGAAUUUUGAGACUUUUAUACCAUGAGCUGU
rnacentral:rRNA from 1 species